rnacentral:lncRNA from 1 species
GGGGGAAGUCCACCAGGAAGGCUGAGUGCCGCACAGAGGCCAGACAGAGCAGCCAUCAUUACUCCCUCCCUGCCGCCUCCUGCCUGUCUUCUAUGCCUAGCUAGCUGUUUCCUAAGGAUCAGAAGAGGAGUUUCUCCCUUGUCUUUCUGGUUGGUUUCUGUAGUUUUGCAAUGAAGCCUUCAGUGAAGCACAGGCCCUUAACCCCCUGCGUCAGGCUCCACCAUGCCUGAGACAUGACGAGACCUAACUCUCGAAAACUCCUUGCUCAGGCCAAGUGUUAAGCUUUCAUGAGUAUUAAUUUUAAAAAUGCAGCAAUCGCUACCAGCAAUUACAAACAGCUUCAAGGACACAAGUUAUUAGCCAUUUUACCUAUGCCUGACCCUAGUUCAAGCGAUGUAUUUCAUGAUGUCUAUUUGCUUCCAUUCUGGUUUCAAAUGAAAUGAAUAGGGGUGAAGCACACAACAAAAUUACAAAUAUCUCCUUUAGACAUGUUUCUUAACUCUUAACUCUCACUAGAUUAGAGAAACAACAAUGAAGUUAAAAACAGGACUGGGGUGAGAGGAAAGCGAUGGACAACCAAUAUGCUUUAGCUCUCCAAUUA